rnacentral:rRNA from 1 species
AGAGUUUGAUCCUGGCUCAGGAUGAACGCUAGCGACAGGCUUAACACAUGCAAGUCGAGGGGCAGCGGGGGCGUAGCAAUAUGCCUGCCGGCGACCGGCGCACGGGUGAGUAACACGUAUGUAACCUGCCCUAUGCAGGGGGAUAACCCGGAGAAAUCCGGCCUAAUACCGCGUAACACCUUAGGGGAGCAUUCUCUUGAGGUUAAAGGAGAGAUCCGGCAUAGGAUGGACAUGCGUCGCAUUAGGUAGACGGCGGGGUAACGGCCCACCGUGCCGACGAUGCGUAGGGGUUCUGAGAGGAAGGCCCCCCACACUGGUACUGAGACACGGACCAGACUCCUACGGGAGGCAGCAGUGAGGAAUAUUGGUCAAUGGCCGAGAGGCUGAACCAGCCAAGUCGCGUGAGGGAAGAAUGUCCUAAGGAUUGUAAACCUCUUUUGUCGGGGAGCAAAAAGGCUCUGCGGAGUCGUAUUGAGAGUACCCGAAGAAAAAGCAUCGGCUAACUCCGUGCCAGCAGCCGCGGUAAUACGGAGGAUGCGAGCGUUAUCCGGAUUUAUUGGGUUUAAAGGGUGCGCAGGCGGCGUGUCAAGCAAGCGGUAAAAUAGCGGGGCUCAACCCCGUCGAGCCGUUUGAACUGGCGCGCUUGAGUUCAGGCGAGGUAGGCGGAAUUCGUGGUGUAGCGGUGAAAUGCAUAGAUAUCACGAAGAACUCCGAUUGCGAAGGCAGCUUACCAGUCUGCGACUGACGCUCAGGCACGAAAGUGUGGGUAUCGAACAGGAUUAGAUACCCUGGUAGUCCACACAGUAAACGAUGAGCGCUAGGUGUCCGGGUCGCAUGAGACUUGGGUGCCCGAGCGAAAGCGUUAAGCGCUCCACCUGGGGAGUACGCCGGCAACGGUGAAACUCAAAGGAAUUGACGGGGGCCCGCACAAGCGGAGGAACAUGUGGUUUAAUUCGAUGAUACGCGAGGAACCUUACCCGGGCUCAAACGACUCAGGAAUAUAUUGGAAACGAUGUAGCCAGCAAUGGUCUGAGUCGAGGUGCUGCAUGGUUGUCGUCAGCUCGUGCCGUGAGGUGUCGGCUUAAGUGCCAUAACGAGCGCAACCCCUACCGCCAGUUGCCAACGGGUAAAGCCGGGAACUCUGGCGGGACUGCCGGCGCAAGCUGUGAGGAAGGCGGGGAUGACGUCAAAUCAGCACGGCCCUUACGUCCGGGGCGACACACGUGUUACAAUGGCAGGUACAGCGGGAAGCCACCUGGUGACAGGGAGCGGAACCCGAAAGCCUGUCUCAGUUCGGAUUGGAGUCUGCAACUCGACUCCAUGAAGCUGGAUUCGCUAGUAAUCGCGCAUCAGCCAUGGCGCGGUGAAUACGUUCCCGGGCCUUGCACACACCGCCCGUCA